AUUGAACGCUGGCGGCAGGCCUAACACAUGCAAGUCGAACGGCAACAGGAAGCAGCUUGCUGCUUCGCUGACGAGUGGCGGACGGGUGAGUAAUGUCUGGGAAGCUGCCUGAUGGAGGGGGAUAACUACUGGAAACGGUAGCUAAUACCGCAUAAUGUCGCAAGACCAAAGAGGGGGACCUUCUGGCCUCUUGCCAUCGGGUGUGCCCAGAUGGGAUUCGCUUGUUGGUGGGGUAACGGCUCACCAAGGCGACGAUCCCUAGCUGGUCUGAGAGGAUGACCAGCCACACUGGGACUGAGACACGGUCCAGACUCCUACGGGAGGCAGCAGUGGGGAAUAUUGCACAAAGGGCGCAAGCCUGAUGCAGCCAUGCCGCGUGUAUGAAGAAGGCCUUCGGGUUGUAAAGUACUUUCAGCGGGGAGGAAGGGAGUAAAGUUAAUACCUUGGCUCAUUGACGUUACCCGCAGAAGAAGCACCGGCUAACUCCGUG
rnacentral:rRNA from 1 species